CUUUGCUGGGAACUUUGUUGAAAUCAAUGAACAAAAAAGAAAAAGACUCCUCACCUUGUGGAUCUAACAUUCUGGAGGAAGGAGAAUGAUGAUAAAUACUAGACAGAUGAGUAUGUCCAGUGCAAAAACAGGGAAAUGAAAAAAAUAAAUGUAUAUGAGCUUUCAGCUGAGAAGAGGCAGGUGGAGAUGCCUCCCAGGAGACUUUCAGGCCAGAGUCUCGAGAAUAUUCAGACUCACUCCCAGCUGGGGGGAAUGUGGAGCAUGGACACCACCCCCGUUUAGAGGUGAGGAUCCAAGGCCCCAGACUUCUGAAAAAAACGGAUGCUCCAUCCUGGAUCUCUCUGUAGUAUUUCUGCAUGCUAGCUCUGCACACCUCAUUCUCUUAAUAAUAGGAUGUAGUCUAUUUUUUACCCCUGAGAUGUAAUUUAAAUAUAAAUGCAGCAUUUGGCCUAUGUAUACAUCAAAGUCUGUAUGUGGACCAGUUAACCUGCAAACCUGUGGUGAUAGGGACCGCCCCACUGGGAGAACCCAGGGUCCCUUCCUGGCAGCUUAGGCCUACGGGGUUCUAUUUCCGUCUUCUCUCUGCGGAAACUUGCUCAGCAGACACUGUCCAUGCACAUGGCUCACCCAGGGCCCUGACCCAGAUAGUAGCUAAGCCCUGAGCACAUCCGCAGGGAAGCCUGGCUCAGCCAUCCAUCACAACCACACAGCUGGUGACAGCCGAGCAGGGGGCGCCCUCAUGGCCUGAGAAGGCAGCAGGAUGAGGUAGCUAAGUUCUGGGUCUCGUUGCCCUUGCUGUGUGGCCCAGGGCAAGCCACUUUCCCUCUCUGGGCUAUCUGGAAUGUGGCCUGGAGCUCACGACAUCACUCUGUCCUGGAAGCCAGUGAUGGGAUCUUUACAACAAUCCUUCAACAGGAUGCUCUAGAUGGUGACGGCUGGAAUUCAUUUCAGUUUUUAAAUUUUUAUUUAUUUUGGCCAGACACUGUGGCUCACACCUGUAAUCCCAGCACUCUAGGAGGCCGAGACAAGUGGAUCACCUGAGGCCAGGAGUUCAAGACCAGCCUGGCCAGCAUGGUGAAACCCCAUCUCUAUUAAAAAUACAAAAAUUAGUCAGGCUUGGUGGUGCACACCUGUAAUCCCAG
rnacentral:lncRNA from 10 species